rnacentral:rRNA from 1 species
AUGGGAACGCGAAGAACCUUACCUACUCUUGACAUCCAGAGAACUUAGCAGAGAUGCUUUGGUGCCUUCGGGAACUCUGAGACAGGUGCUGCAUGGCUGUCGUCAGCUCGUGUUGUGAAAUGUUGGGUUAAGUCCCGCAACGAGCGCAACCCUUAUCCUUUGUUGCCAGCGGUUAGGCCGGGAACUCAAAGGAGACUGCCAGUGAUAAACUGGAGGAAGGUGGGGAUGACGUCAAGUCAUCAUGGCCCUUACGACCAGGGCUACACACGUGCUACAAUGGCAUAUACAAAGAGAAGCGACCUCGCGAGAGCAAGCGGACCUCAUAAAGUAUGUCGUAGUCCGGAUUGGAGUCUGCAACUCGACUCCAUGAAGUCGGAAUCGCUAGUAAUCGUAGAUCAGAAUGCUACGGUGAAUACGUUCCCGGGUCUUGUACACACCG